rnacentral:rRNA from 1 species
AACCGCAUUUAGCAUGGAAUAAUGGAAUAGGACGUGUGGUUCUAUUUUGUUGGUUUCUAGGACCGCCGUAAUGAUUAAUAGGGACAGUCGGGGGCAUCAGUAUUCAAUUGUCAGAGGUGAAAUUCUUGGAUUUAUUGAAGACUAACUACUGCGAAAGCAUUUGCCAAGGAUGUUUUCAUUAAUCAAGAACGAAAGUUAGGGGAUCGAAGACGAUCAGAUACCGUCCUAGUCUCAACCAUAAACGAUGCCGACCAGGGAUCAGCGGAUGUUGCUUUUAGGACUCCGCCGGCACCUUACGAGAAAUCAAAGUGCUUGGGCUCCAGGGGGAGUAUGGUCGCAAGGCUGAAACUUAAAGAAAUUGACGGAAGGGCACCACCAGGGGUGGAGCCUGCGGCUUAAUUUGACUCAACACGGGGAAACUCACCAGGUCCAGAAUAACCUGAGUCAGGUUAUUAGCAUGGAAUAAUGAAAUAGGAAACUCACCAGGUCCAGAUUUGCAGC